AGUUUACGUCCUCUGAAAACCCCCUUCCCAAAAGAAAGGCAAAGCCAAGUCUCUGGGCUCCCUGAACAGUGCUGUCUCUUCCAAGCAGAGAGUGGGUGGGGCUCUGGAAAGCCCUGAACUCUAGGAGCAAGGAAACAGCCGUGGCCAGCAGGUCCCCUUCGGCCAGCAGCCCAGCCCUGGAACUCCAGAGGGAGCUUGCAAGAGGAUCCCCACAGAUUUCGCUGCUCUGGGGUAACAAUGUUGAUGCUGCUGCUGCUGCUGAUGAUGAUGAUGAUGAUGAUGAUGGCCACCAGAUAGGAAAUGCUAACUAUAGCCCAGGACCCACUCUAAGUGGCCAUGUGACCCAGUUCUCAGCAAUGACUCCUUGGGAGAAAUGUCAUUCCCAAAUAAAAAGAGAAGACCCCAAAAGAAAGCUCUUUGCCCCUUUGCUCUUUUGCCUUUUUCCUGCCUGAAUUACAAAUGCAAUGCCUAUCUUUGGAUUUCUUAAUACCUACCUUUGGAUUUCUUAAUACCUAUGAAAAAUAAA
rnacentral:lncRNA from 1 species